GCAGUUUCAUUUCUGUAUUUUAAUUAGUAUUUUUAUUUUCCACAAUCUGUUGAUAGUGGGGGAAACUUGAACUUGAGACUUUGUUUAGCUGUAUAAAUCUUGAAAUUAGUGUGUCUUUCUCAAUGAGGACAUCAUUUGAAUAGGGAAUCAGUGUUCAUUCAGUAUAGAAAUACUGAAGAAGCGUUUCACUGUGACUCCAAAAAAAUUCAAAAUGAAAAUUAUAAGCAAGUUGCAAUGGAAGGUAGCUGUCUGAAAGUUCAGACACUCCAGAAAAAUUCCAUAAAACCAGAGAGAUAAUUUUCUACAGGUCUAGUAGUGACUCUUAGUAUAGCCUUAAACUGAAAAGAAAGAAUUCCUCUUUAAAAAAAAAUUCUAAUUGCAAAGUAAAAAAAAAAAGCUAUAAAAAGUCAAAUGAAAAAAAUUAAACAAUUUUUAAAGCUUUCCAGAUGAUUCUAACAUGCUGCCAAGACUGACAAAUCCUGCUGUCUUCUUGAUAGAUGACCUUUUCUUCAGCUUGCUUAGCCAGGAUUCCUGAAAAGAAAGCAUUUCUUAUUUUUGUGUUAAGCCGAUAUUAAACAUGACAAAAUAAUCUGUGUAUUAAAAAUUC
rnacentral:lncRNA from 1 species